GACGAACGCUGGCGGCGUGCUUAACACAUGCAAGUCGAACGGAAAGGCCCUGCUUUUGUGGGGUGCUCGAGUGGCGAACGGGUGAGUAACACGUGAGUAACCUGCCCUUGACUUUGGGAUAACUUCAGGAAACUGGGGCUAAUACCGGAUAGGAGCUCCUGCUGCAUGGUGGGGGUUGGAAAGUUUCGGCGGUUGGGGAUGGACUCGCGGCUUAUCAGCUUGUUGGUGGGGUAGUGGCUGACCAAGGCUUUGACGGGUAGCCGGCCUGGGAGGGUGACCGGCCACAUGGGGACUGAGAUACGGCCCAGACUCCUACGGGAGGCAGCAGUGGGGAAUAUUGCACAAUGGGCGGAAGCCUGAUGCAGCAACGCCGCGUGCGGGAUGACGGCCUUCGGGUUGUAAACCGCUUUCGCCUGUGACGAAGCGUGAGUGACGGUAAUGGGUAAAGAAGCACCGGCUAACUACGUG
rnacentral:rRNA from 1 species